rnacentral:pre_miRNA from 15 species
UCCUGCUGUGUUUGGCAAUGGUAGAACUCACACUGGUGAGAUAAUGGAAUCCGGUGGUUCUAGACUUGCCAACUACGGCUUGAGA